AUACGGAGGGUGCAAGCGUUAAUCGGAAUUACUGGGCGUAAAGCGUACGUAGGCGGUUUGAUAAGUCAGAUGUGAAAGCCCCGGGCUCAACCUGGGAACUGCAUUUGAAACUGUCAGACUAGAGUUUGGUAGAGGGUAGUAGAAUUCCUGGUGUAGCGGUGAAAUGCGUAGAUAUCAGGAGGAAUACCAGUGGCGAAGGCGGCUACCUGGACCAAAACUGACGCUGAGGUACGAAAGCGUGGGGAGCAAACAGGAUUAGAUACCCCGGUAGUCC
rnacentral:rRNA from 1 species